GAUUGUUUUUGUGUAAUAAACACUAGUCAUUUAAAAUUGAUUUGUAGAUGAUCAUACGUGAUUUCACAUUCCCAAAACACCUAUGAUGCAAGAGAAACAUUUUUAAAAAACCACACACAUUGUCCAUUUCUCUCUGUUACAAAUGACUUGUUUGAGACCAAUUUUCUUAUAAACUAUUGCUAGAAUCAGAAGUAGAAAUCUCAAUGAGAGUUGGAUAAGCCUU
rnacentral:lncRNA from 1 species